rnacentral:misc_RNA from 1 species
AACGCACAUUGCGCCCUUUGGCAUUCCGAAGGGCAUGCCUGUUCGAGCGUCAUUAUCACCCCUCAAGCCCUCGGCUUGGUGUUGGACGGUCGGCGAAGGUCCCUCUGGGGCUCUCGCCCCUCCCAAAGACAAUGACGGCGGCCUCGUUGGACCCCCGGUACACUGAGUUCUUCACGGGACACGUACUGGAUCAAGGGUGCGCGGGGCACGGUCUGCCUCCCCUCAGGGAGAAUUUAUUUACAAGGUUGACCUCGGAUCAGGUAGGGAUACCCGCUGAACUUAA